rnacentral:rRNA from 1 species
CUACGGAGGAUGCAAGCGUUAUCCGGAUUUAUUGGGUUUAAAGGGUGCGUAGGCGGUUUGCUAAGCGGGAGGUGAAAUGCCGGCGCUCAACGUCGGAAGUGCCUCCCGAACUGGUGGACUGGAAUGACUCUGCCGUGGGAGGAAUGUGUAGUGUAGCGGUGAAAUGCUUAGAGAUUACACAGAACGCCGAUAGCGGAGGCAGCUCGCCAGGCCUGCAUUGACGCUCGGGCACGAAAGCGUGGGGAUCGAACAGGAUUAGAUACCCUGGUAGUCCACGCCGUAAACGAUGGGCGCUCGUCGUCGGCGGCAGACAGUCGGCGGCCAAGCGAAAGCGAUAAGCGCCCCACCUGGGGAGUACGGUCGCAAGGCUGAAACUCAAAUGAAUUGACGGGG